rnacentral:rRNA from 1 species
UACAGAGGUCUCAAGCGUUGUUCGGAUUCAUUGGGCGUAAAGGGUGCGUAGGCGGCGUGGUAAGUCGGGUGUGAAAUCUCGGAGCUUAACUCCGAAACUGCAUUCGAUACUGCCGUGCUUGAGGACUGGAGAGGAGACUGGAAUUUACGGUGUAGCGGUGAAAUGCGUAGAUAUCGUAAGGAAGACCAGUGGCGAAGGCGGGUCUCUGGACAGUUACUGACACUGAGGCACGAAGGCCAGGGGAGCAAACGGG